AAGCGCUGAAAGCGCUCUUGUACUAACAUAUUACCCACACCAUGCCCUAAAAUAAGAAGAAAUAUUCCAAGCAUUUCUGUUACAUCGAUAUUUCUAGAUCCUUGAAGGCCAUAACUCGUUACUAAAUCAUGCAUUAAACUAUUAAACACAAUCCUAUCCAUUCUAAACAUUUGAUAGCACCUUAUCGGAUUAGCAUCUUCGCCCAUCAACUCUUCUAACCAUUUAUUUCCUGUAUAUGAAGUAUGUCAUACAGGGUUCUUUGUAAUUGUACAUUGCACGAUAAGCCACUGCAGCUCGAGCAAUUCCCACAAUUUGCCAAUAUUCUUCUUCCUCUUUGUCAUGAUUUUCCCCUUCAGGAGAAUCAUCCAUAAUAACUACUUUGAGCAA